rnacentral:rRNA from 1 species
UACGUAGGGUGCGAGCGUUGUCCGGAAUUAUUGGGCGUAAAGGGCUCGUAGGCGGUUUGUCGCGUCGGGAGUGAAAACCCAGGGCUUAACUCUGGGCUUGCUUUCGAUACGGGCAGACUAGAGGUAUGCAGGGGAGAACGGAAUUCCUGGUGUAGCGGUGAAAUGCGCAGAUAUCAGGAGGAACACCGGUGGCGAAGGCGGUUCUCUGGGUAUACUGACGUCUGAGGAGCGAAAGUGUGGGGAGCGAACAGG